AAAAAGUGUAGGAACUCUGUUGCCCUGCGUUCCUGCAGGACUUGAGCCCUAGAUAUAGAGCCAGAAAAAUCCCCAUAACUCAAGGCUGGAAACAACAACGUGUACUUGGAGUAGACUGAAUCCUUGUAGACGAGAGGUUCUGUACGGAGGAUAAUGAGAAGAUCCUAGUUUGUUCUCUGCUCCUCGGAGAACCACAGCCCAUAGGGAAUGGAUGUUUGUUCUAUUCUGUAAUUCCCGCCUUGACGUCAUAGACCUACCCAGCAAGGAUGUUACACAAUAAUAUACCGGAUAGACCCAUCAUGCAGAAGACUGGAACUAUAGCCAAUACAGCAUACUCUGUCCUGGAGUCAUCUUGGACCCCUUUUCGUGUACUGUUUUGGGAGGACUU